rnacentral:rRNA from 1 species
UACGUAGGGGGCGAGCGUUGUCCGGAUUCAUUGGGCGUAAAGAGCUCGUAGGCGGCUUGGCAAGUCGGAUGUGAAAACUCCAGGCUCAACCUGGAGCCGCCAUUCGAUACUGCCAUGGCUAGAGUCCGGUAGGGGAGUGUGGAAUUCCCGGUGUAGCGGUGAAAUGCGCAGAUAUCGGGAGGAACACCGAUGGCGAAGGCAGCACUCUGGGCCGGUACUGACGCUGAGGAGCGAAAGCGCGGGGAGCGAACAGG